UUUUUUUUUUUUUUUUUUUUUUUUUUUUUCCUUUUGUGGAGAACGGGGUCUCGCUAUAUUACCCAGGCAGGUCUCGAACUCCUGGGCUCAAGCUAUCCUCCCGCCUCUGCCUCCCUGAGAGCUGGGAUUACAGGCGUGAGCCACCGCGCCCGGCCUUUUUUUUUUUAAACAGAGUCUCCCUCUGUGGACCAGACAGGAGUACAGUGGCCCGAUCUCAGCUCACUGCAACCUCCUCCUCCUGGGUACAAGUCAUUCUCAGUGCCUGCCGAGUACCUGGAACUACAGGAGCAUGCCACGUGCCCGGCUAAUUUUUGUGUAUUUACUAGACACGCAGUUUUGUCAUGUUGGUCAGGCUGGUCUUGAACUCCGCACCUCAAGAGAUCCACCCACUCAGGUCUCCCAAAGUGCUGGGAUUACAGGCAUGAGCCACUGUGCCCAGUCAGCUGGGGGUUCUUAAGGGCACUCCCCCUUUCCCCACCUCUGUGUCCCUGGAAGCCCCAUUUUCCAGAUGGUGUAGCUAUAAGAAACAAGCGACCCUGCAUCCCUGGGAGUGGGUCUGAAGAGCAACUAGACCCCUCAGGAGACUUCUGAUGAGUGAAAAGUAAACCUUUAACAGUUUAAGGGCUCAGGUGUCAUUCGCUACACUAGCAUUGUGGAACCUAUCCUGACAAACACAACCUGAUUUAGCUAUUUCUCUUUCACAACUGCAGAAACGUUUUUUAACUUUGCACCGUAAACAGGUAGAAAAGGAUAAUAGAAGGAACAAUGUAAUUUACCGAAUAAAUCAUUUAAAUACAAAUCGAUAUACGAAAAUCACAAAUAGUAUAUUGUAUGACAGGAAAAUGUUCUUUAUGUAGUUCAGUUCUGACUUUACUUUCCAAACCUCACUCAAAGUAAAGAAUUAAUAAAAUCUUUAGCCUACUGUAUCUAGAUAAAAUAUAUUUGUCUUUGCCAAGCCUAAAUCCUCUUCUUUUCUCCAACAUGGCCAUGCAUCAUUAACAUUCCAUCAUGUGGGUUCUCAGAUGGAUAUGGUUUCCAUGUCCAUUGCCAAUCAGAAGUGGAUUAAUUACUUAUGUGUAUUUGUUGCUUAAAAUUUACUUAUUAAGUGCAUCAACUAAAUUUCUGUGACAUUAUUCACUAAUUCUUUCCAUUUGUUACUGCACAGAUGUGUGCAAUGCUGAAAUACAAAGAGAUUUCCUCUUCUGUGUGCUUUGGGUUCUGCCCUCACACACCUGGGUCCAGCACCUAUGGGAAGGAUGAAUCACAAAGCUUUGAUGGAGGGGAUGAGUGAUGGAAAAACAACUUCCACAGAGGCCGUACACUUAGCAGAAGUCACUGAUCUAUACUAUUUGCUGAUCUACCCCUGAAGCAUUCUCUCUGACAGCAGAAGGCCAGUUUUUGCUAUUGAACCAUUUCAAAAUCACUGUUUGAAAGCUACAUAUGCACAUAAAGAAAGGGCAGGGAACAUUUUCUUUUCAUGGGUUCUCAAGCACUACAGAGACUCUUUUGUCAGUUACUAUGCCUAUACUAACCAAUCUUACAGCGGCCUCAAAUCUUUUUUGAAACAAUACAUAAGCUAGCUACAGUUUGCUUCUCCCAUGAGUAGAGUACAGUUAAUAACAUUUCUUAUGUUUUAACACAUCACCUUUCCCUUAAUUCAUAGACCAAAUAGAAAAAAAAAUAAUGUACUGUAUUCUUUUUCCUGUUGCAUUUUCAAUAAUUCACUGAACAAAUCCACAUAACAUUCCUGGAGUCGAGUGGAAGAACCAUACGAAAUGCACCCAUUGAAAUCUUUUUCAGUUCUAUUUGGUAUUUAUGUGUCCCCAUUUUGAAAUUGGGCCAUGCUGCUUUUGUUCCUAUAGAAAAGAAGUUAUGAUUUAAGAAAACUUUACAAAAGGGAAGCUGAUCUUGAUGUUAUCAAGCUUCCCUCUUUUCUUUUAGCAGAAUAUUUGAGAAAAUGCCAAUUGGUGUCGCCUAUCAUCAGAGCUUUUCAAGAUUUGAUUACUUUUGAAAAUUAACUUGCAUAAAACUACCUGACCCUCUUUAACAGAUAAUAUUAUAUUCCCCUCUGAAAGGUUUGCACCCACAUUUGUCUCUGUGCACUGAAAGAGUAAGACCAUAUCAAAUGGUUUAGAUGAAAUGAUGCCAUAACUAACAUGUUCUCCCUUUUUGGGGAGAGCAUUGGUAUAAACUCAGGCAUUCGGCUGGGUGUGGUGGCUCAAGCCUGUAACCCCUGCACUUUGGGAGGCCAAGGCGGGUGGAUCACUUAAGGUCAGGAGUUCAAGACCAGCCUGGCCAACAUGGUGAAACCCCAUCUCUACUAAAAAUGCAAAAAUUAGCCAGGCAUGGUGGCGUACCCCUGUAAUCCCAGCUACCGAGAGGCUGAGGUGGGAGAAUUGCUUGAACCCCGGAGGUGGAGGCUGCAGUGAGCCAAGAUCGUGCCACUGCACUCCCGCUUGGGUGACAGAGUGAGACUCCAUGUCAAAAAUACAUACAUACAUACAUACAUACAUACAUACAUACAUACAUACGUAACCUAAACUCAGGCAUCCAUAUUCUUUCAUGGUGAAUGUUAACCGGAAUGCCUUUUUUGUUCAGACUGUCACUGGAUGUUUUUAUAAUUAGAAGAUUCACUUUAAAAUGAAAGUCUGAGGUUGAUGAGGCAGAACCAGCUAUUUUUAAAGGGAAAUUCUUAUUAGUACAAAAUAUUGCAGGACAAACAAAAUGAAUUUUUAAAGGCAGAUUAACCAAAUUGUUCAUUAUUGUAGUAAACAUUUGCAAAAAUCAAGAGGAUGGACUAUAUUAGCCAUAUUAUGGACAUAUUAGCCAUACCCAAGCUAGAGAAUGAAGCACUAUGUACCAAUUUAUGUACAAUAAUUGUUCAUACUAGCAUUUUCAUAGUUUGGGCAGGGACUCAUUUUGUUCCAUGUGACCUUUGUUGUCCAGGAUUGGUUGCUAUUAGAAAAUAGAAACAAUAAAAAUAAAAUAUUUUAUUUUAAAGGAUUUUACUAGGCUAGCUUUGGGUUUUUAAAAAUACUUGAACAUCAAGGGUAAAGCAGAAAACUAGUUUUAGGGAAUCUGGUACCUUUACAUCUUUACAGUAAUUUGAGUAUUUGAAAAGUAAUAUUGUUUCUUUUCUUUUUUUUAAAGGACAUUUAGUAAGGUAUGUUUCAGUGGCAUAUCAUUGUAGCGUUUAAAAAGAAUGACCAUGAAAAUCAAAUUAGGUAAACAUAGUCUUUUACCUUUUUUUAAUUUUGCAUUUCUAACAUUUUGUUUUCCUUUGGAUGUAAAUGGGUAUGUCAGAGGAGGGGUAUAUUUCAAAGAAAGAGCUUAAUAAAGUAAUUUACUGACAGCAGGUCACCACUAAUAAGCAAAUAUUUUAUAAAUCAUGAGACUGAGUAGAUUACAAAAGAAGGGGUGAAAACUGCUG
ensembl:lncRNA